ACUCCUACGGGAGGCAGCAGUAGGGAAUCUUCCACAAUGGGCGAAAGCCUGAUGGAGCAACGCCGCGUGGGUGAAGAAGGUCUUCGGAUCGUAAAACCCUGUUGUUAGAGAAGAAAGUGCGUGAGAGUAACUGUUUACGUUUCGACGGUAUCUAACCAGAAAGCCACGGCUAACUACGUGCCAGCAGCCGCGGUAAUACGUAGGUGGCAAGCGUUAUCCGGAUUUAUUGGGGCGUAAAGGGAACGCAGGCGGUCUUUUAAGUCUGAUGUGAAAGCCUUCGGCUUAACCGGAGUAGUGCAUUGGAAACUGGGAGACUUGAGUGCAGAAGAGGAGAGUGGAACUCCAUGUGUAGCGGUGAAAUGCGUAGAUAUAUGGAAGAACACCAGUGGCGAAAGCGGCUCUCUGGUCUGUAACUGACGCUGAGGUUCGAAAGCGUGGGUAGCAAACAGGAUUAGAUA
rnacentral:rRNA from 1 species